rnacentral:rRNA from 1 species
UACGAAGGGGGCUAGCGUUGUUCGGAAUUACUGGGCGUAAAGGGCGCGUAGGCGGCCCGAUCAGUCAGAUGUGAAAGCCCCGGGCUACAACCUGGGAACUGCCAUUUGAUACUGUCGGGCUUGAGUUCCGGAGAGGAUGGUGGAAUUCCCAGUGUAGAGGUGAAAUUCGUAGAUAUUGGGAAGAACACCGGUGGCGAAGGCGGAUCUCUGGGCCUUA